rnacentral:rRNA from 1 species
ACGAACGCUGGCGGCGUGCCUAAUACAUGCAAGUAGAACGCUGAAGAGAGGAGCUUGCUCUUCUUGGAUGAGUUGCGAACGGGUGAGUAACGCGUAGGUAACCUGCCUUGUAGCGGGGGAUAACUAUUGGAAACGAUAGCUAAUACCGCAUAACAAUGGAUGACACAUGUCAUUUAUUUGAAAGGGGCAAUUGCUCCACUACAAGAUGGACCUGCGUUGUAUUAGCUAGUAGGUGAGGUAAUGGCUCACCUAGGCGACGAUACAUAGCCGACCUGAGAGGGUGAUCGGCCACACUGGGACUGAGACACGGCCCAGACUCCUACGGGAGGCAGCAGUAGGGAAUCUUCGGCAAUGGGGGCAACCCUGACCGAGCAACGCCGCGUGAGUGAAGAAGGUUUUCGGAUCGUAAAGCUCUGUUGUAAGUCAAGAACGGGUGUGAGAGUGGAAAGUUCACACUGUGACGGUAGCUUACCAGAAAGGGACGGCUAACUACGUGCCAGCAGCCGCGGUAAUACGUAGGUCCCGAGCGUUGUCCGGAUUUAUUGGGCGUAAAGCGAGCGCAGGCGGUUUGAUAAGUCUGAAGUUAAAGGCUGUGGCUCAACCAUAGUUCGCUUUGGAAACUGUCAAACUUGAGUGCAGAAGGGGAGAGUGGAAUUCCAUGUGUAGCGGUGAAAUGCGUAGAUAUUAGGAGGAACAUCGGUGGCGAAGGCGGCUUACUGGGCUUUUACUGACGCUGAGGCUCGAAAGCGUGGGGAGCGAACAGGAUUAGAUACCCUGGUAGUCCACGCCGUAAACGAUGAGUGCUAGGUGUUGGAUCCUUUCCGGGAUUCAGUGCCGCAGCUAACGCAUUAAGCACUCCGCCUGGGGAGUACGACCGCAAGGUUGAAACUCAAAGGAAUUGACGGGGGCCCGCACAAGCGGUGGAGCAUGUGGUUUAAUUCGAAGCAACGCGAAGAACCUUACCUGGUCUUGACAUCCCUAUGAAUAACGGGCAAUGCCGUUAGUACUUCGGUACAUAGGAGACAGGUGGUGCAUGGUUGUCGUCAGCUCGUGUCGUGAGAUGUUGGGUUAAGUCCCGCAACGAGCGCAACCCCUAUUGUUAGUUGCCAUCAUUCAGUUGGGCACUCUAGCGAGACUGCCGGUAAUAAACCGGAGGAAGGUGGGGAUGACGUCAAAUCAUCAUGCCCCUUAUGACCUGGGCUACACACGUGCUACAAUGGUUGGUACAACGAGUUGCGAGUCGGUGACGGCGAGCUAAUCUCUUAAAGCCAAUCUCAGUUCGGAUUGUAGGCUGCAACUCGCCUACAUGAAGUCGGAAUCGCUAGUAAUCGCGGAUCAGCACGCCGCGGUGAAUACGUUCCCGGGCCUUGUACACACCGCCCGUCACACCACGAGAGUUUGUAACACCCGAAGUCGGUGAGGUAACCUUUUGGAGCCAGCCGCCUAAGGUGGGACAGAUGAUUGGGGUG